CUGUUACUCCCUCCGUCCGAAAAUACUUGUCAUCAAAAUAGAUAAAAAGAGAUGUAUCUAAAACUAAAAUACGUCUAGAUACAUCCUCUUUUAUCCAUUUUGAUGACAAGUAUUUCCGGACGGAGGGAGUAAUGA
rnacentral:pre_miRNA from 1 species